GCCAGACUCCUACGGGAGGCAGCAGUGGGGGAUAUUGCACAAUGGGGGGAACCCUGAUGCAGCGACGCCGCGUGGGUGAAGGAGCGUUUCGGCGCGUAAAGCCCUAUCGGCAGGGAAGAAGGAGGACGGUACCUGACUAAGAAGCCCCGGCUAACUACGUGCCAGCAGCCGCGGUAAUACGUAGGGGGCAAGCGUUAUCCGGAUUUACUGGGUGUAAAGGGGGCGCAGACGGCAGCGCAAGCCAGGAGUGAAAGCCCGGGGCCCAACCCCGGGACUGCUCUUGGAACUGCGCGGCUGGAGUGCAGGAGGGGCAGGCGGAAUUCCUGGUGUAGCGGUGAAAUGCGUAGAUAUCAGGAGGAACACCGGUGGCGAAGGCGGCCUGCUGGACUGCGACUGACGUUGAGGCCCGAAAGCGUGGGGAGCAAACAGGAUUAGAUACCCCCGUAGAA
rnacentral:rRNA from 1 species